rnacentral:rRNA from 1 species
UGGGGAAUAUUGGACAAUGGGCGAAAGCCUGAUGCAGCCAUGCCGCGUGUAUGAAGAAGGCCUUCGGGUUGUAAAGUACUUUCAGCGGGGAGGAAGGCGAUAAGGUUAAUAACCUUGUCGAUUGACGUUACCCGCAGAAGAAGCACCGGCUAACUCCGUGCCAGCAGCCGCGGUAAUACGGAGGGUGCAAGCGUUAAUCGGAAUUACUGGGCGUAAAGCGCACGCAGGCGGUCUGUCAAGUCGGAGGUGAAAUCCCCGGGCUCAACCUGGGAACUGCAUUCGAAACUGGCAGGCUAGAGUCUUGUAGAGGGGGGUAGAAUUCCAGGUGUAGCGGUGAAAUGCGUAGAGAUCUGGAGGAAUACCGGUGGCGAAGGCGGCCCCCUGGACAAAGACUGACGCUCAGGUGCGAAAGCGUGGGGAGCAAACA